ensembl:misc_RNA 7SK 7SK RNA
GGGUGUAAGGUGGAUGUGGCUGGGACCUCGUUUGCUGUCCCAUUGAUCAGGAGUGUUGAUUUAGCUGAUCUGGCUGGCUAGGCGGUGUCCUCUUCCUCCCUCCCCCCUGCGUGUAUCUGCAUGUCCCUCCUGAAGCCGUGUGCUCCUCUUGGUCCAAGAGAAAGAGCUUCCCCUACACAGGAAAGCCUUCCUUUGGUCAAGGGUAUCGGAGUAGCUGUGCACCCCAUGGGAACCAGCCCGUAAACUCUCAAGUUCCAUUCGUAGGAGAACAUAGUGUAGUCAUGCUUUUAAGACUUGAGAUACAUCAGAGUGAGGUACUUCAUGUAGCAGUCUGUCUGUCUUU